AUCAACUUUCGAUGGUAGGAUAGAGGCCUACCAUGGUGGUAACGGGUAACGGGGUGUUAGGGCACGACACCGGAGAGGGAGCCUGAGAAACGGCUACCACAUCCAAGGAUGGCAGCAGGCGCGCAAAUUACCCAAUCCCGACACGGGGAGGUAGUGACAAUAAAUAACAAUACGGGGUUCUUUAGGAUCUCGUAAUUGGAAUGAGUACAAUUUAAAUCUCUUAACGAGGAACAAUUGGAGGGCAAGUCUGGUGCCAGCAGCCGCGGUAAUUCCAGCUCCAAUAGCGUACAUUAAAGUUGUUGCAGUUAAAAAGCUCGUAGUUGAAUUUCGGGGUUAGUAGGUUGGUCAUGCCUCUGGUAUGUACUGGUCUCACUGAUUCCUCCUUCCUGAUGAACCGUAAUGCCAUUAAUUUGGUGUUGCGGGGAAUUUGGACUGUUACUUUGAAAAAAUUAGAGUGUUUAAAGCAAGCUAACGCUUGAAUACAUUAGCAUGGAAUAAUGAAAUAGGACGUUCGAUCCUAUUUUGUUGGUUUCUAGGAUUGACGUAAUGAUUAAUAGGGAUAGUUGGGGGCAUUAGUAUUCAAUUGUCAGAGGUGAAAUUCUUGGAUUUAUUGAAGACUAACUACUGCGAAAGCAUUUGCCAAGGAUGUUUUCAUUAAUCAAGAACGAAAGUUAGGAGAUCGAAGACGAUCAGAUACCGUCGUAGUCUUAACCAUAAACUAUGCCGACUAGGGAUCGGAUGAUGUUAUUUUUAAUGACUCAUUCGGCGCCUUACGGGAAACCAAAGUGUUUGGGUUC
rnacentral:rRNA from 1 species